UAAGGAAUAUUGGUCAAUGCCCGGAAGGGUGAACCAGCCAUCCCGCGUGAAGGAUGAAGGGGCUCUGCCUUGUAAACUUCUUUUGAAUGGGACGAAAAAGCCUCACUUGUGAGGAACUGACGGUACCAUUAGAAUAAGCACCGGCUAACUCCGUGCCAGCAGCCGCGGUAAUACGGAGGGUGCGAGCGUUAUCCGGAAUCACUGGGUUUAAAGGGUGCGUAGGCGGCUGUAUAAGUCAGUGGUGGAAGGCUGUGGCUUAACCAUGGGAUUGCCAUUGAUACUGUACGGCUUGAAUUAGGAUGAGGUUGGCGGAAUGUGACAUGUAGCGGUGAAAUGCUUAGAUAUGUCAUGGAACAUCGAUUGCGAAGGCAGCUGACUGGACCUUAAUUGACGCUGAGGCACGAAAGCGUGGGGAGCGAACAGGAUUAGAUACCCACGUAGUCCCUGAGCGGGCUGGCAAGGCGCAU
rnacentral:rRNA from 1 species